CCUCCCACUCCGUCCCCUUUUUGUUCGUGCUGCUUCUGUUGCUUUCCAAUGUGGGAGUGGUUACAUCAUAUAAUCUUUAUUUUACCUCUUGAGAGGUGACAACUAGAUCUUUGCUGUGGCAAAUGCGUUAACUUGCAAUUUAAGACUACGCCAUCUCGCUCACUCAUUGACAUUCAAGUUGCUGGGGCCAAGAGAACAAUGAUCUUGGAUGUUGACUGUAGCAGUGAGUCCAAUUGACUUGCAUAAGAACGUGACUUGAAAC